CAAGAGCUUUCAUGGCCAUCACAUCGCUACUGGCAAGGGGAGAGUCAGUGAUCCCAUUCGGCUCUUUGGCUUCUAGGCCCAGUCCUGAUUCACUCCACCUGUGAUGCCAGGAUGGUUUGCUGCCAUCAUUUCCAGCUCCCCUCAGGGUGCCUUCUGGCACCCACCUCAGAAGCCGACCUGGGGACGAAAGUGAGACUGUCUGCAAGCAGCACAGCCCCCUGGAGUCGGGAGACAUGAAAGGACACGCAGUUUUGCCAGUGCAGAUGCAGGACAAGAGAUGGGUUUCUGCGGGAACAGCUGAGACCACGAGGCUUUCUGAUCCCUGACCUCACUGAAGCGGAAAGCAAUCGUUCCUGGACAGCUUCUCGAUUCCCCAGCUGUCUGAUGGCAAGGGAGUCAGACCAACACCUUAGAGGGCCGUCCCUCCAACCUUUCUGAUGAUUUUGUAAGCACGAAACUCACAUACUAUUAAACCCUUUUGUGCUUUAA